CUCUGCUAACCAUUGUCUUUGGUUUAUUCAAUGACUUGUUUGCUUUUCACAUUACCCUCUUGAUUGUGCCUAUUCUUAAUUUGUAAGAUGAUGUUAUUGUAUUUAUGGCCCAGUUAGAUUUAGCUGGAGGGUAUAACAGCUUGAUUGUCACACAGUAACAUCAUGAUCUGUGUAAGGUUCCAAUGAGUUGGAAAGGUAACCACAGCAAGCUGAUUUCAGACUGAAGAUGCAUAUUAAACAUGCAUGGUGUUAAAUUUCCUUAUCAUUUUGUUUACUUCCUGCAAGUUUGUCUCUUGGGUUUGAGGCAUCAUGUUCGCUGGACAUUGUCAAAGAUAAUGCAGUUUUUUUCAUUAUUCUUACAAAGAAUCAAGAAAAAGUGUCUAAAUCCCUUCUGGGAUGACCACUGGCUUUAGAAAUUGCAAUAAUGCUUAGGUCACUCUCUUGAGUUCAGAUUAUCACAUAAUCCGCAGUUGAAGCAUGAAUCAACAAAGAUUAAUAAUUGCUAGCAGAGAAAGACUGAUAGAGGUAAGGCCAAUGGAAGGGAAGGAGUUGUUUAGGCUGAAAAUGGGGUCAGGAAUGGGAUUGAACUAAGGAAGAUCCCAAAAUGUCUUUGAAUAGGUCGGUCAAAAAUAUCCAAAAACCAAGCAGUAUGUCUAGGAAUCAUGGUCGUUCCCAUUGCAAUUCUAUCCUCCCUAUUGGGUGAGAAUGCAAUUAAAAACAAGUGACUCCAUCUAUGCUUUGAGAUAGAUCUCUUUGCUUAUGUUUGGUGACUAUCCUUGUAAAAAUAUGUUUUAAAUUAGUU